AACAAAGAUUGUCACACUUUUUACGGACAGCUAUUGGUAAGCUAACAAAUCAAACAGCUAGGAAGUUAAAUUAGCUGGCUACACAGCUACGUUCUGCCACAAA